rnacentral:rRNA from 1 species
UGGGGAAUUUUGGACAAUGGGCGAAAGCCUGAUCCAGCCAUGCCGCGUGAGUGACGAAGGCCUUAGGGUUGUAAAACUCUUUCGUCGGGGACGAUAAUGACGGUACCCGAAGAAGAAGCUCCGGCUAACUUCGUGCCAGCAGCCGCGGUAAUACGAAGGGAGCUAGCGUUGUUCGGAAUCACUGGGCGUAAAGCGCACGUAGGCGGAUAGUUAAGUCAGGGGUGAAAUCCUGGGGCUCAACCCCAGAACUGCCUUUGAUACUGGCUGUCUCGAGGUCGAGAGAGGUUGGUGGAAUUCCUAGUGUAGAGGUGAAAUUCGUAGAUAUUAGGAAGAACACCAGUGGCGAAGGCGGCCAACUGGCUCGAUACUGACGCUGAGGUGCGAAAGCGUGGGGAGCAAACAGGAUUAGAUACCCCGGUAGUCCCUGAGCGGGCUGGCAAGGCGCAU